GAGAUACAUUUGUAGUAGUAGUUGUUCACAUGUGACCCAGUUCCAUAUCUAUUUCGAGUAAUGAAAGCAAAAACUACACGUGACUAUAGAGAAGGCUUCUGUAUAAAUUGACUCAUCAGAAAAGUUAGCCGGCAUUCGAGCGUGUCUAUUUUUAAAUGGUCUGACUAACAUUCGCACCCCAUCAUGAUCAGAGUUAAGCUCUCUCUCUCUCCCUUUCACCCUCAGAGGAGGGGUUGGGCAAUUAAACGACAUUUGCCAGACGCCAAGACAAACAAUGACAAUUACAAUUGCUAAAAUGUAAUAAAAUAUCUCAAGACUCUGCUCUCGAAGGGUCUCGUCUGGAUGGUCUGAAAAGAGGAGUCGAACAAAACUGGCAGGGCAACGCCCUUCAGUGUGCUAUUAAUUUCUUGACUGAAAAUUUUAUUGUUCAAACAGAGCGUGGCAUUAAGUUUAUUAUACACUUAACAUAACUCAAAUUGGAAGUUUCCACCAGCAGGUGGUGGGUUGGAUUUCCUCGCUGGUGGUUGAAUGGAGUCGCCUAUUAAAGUUAUCGCCUUUCAAGUUUAUCUGCUAUGGCAGGAUAUCUUUAAAAUUAUAACUUUGUUUAAAUUUUAGCCAAA